ACGCUGGCGGCAGGCUUAACACAUGCAAGUCGAACGGUAACAGGGAUUAGCUUGCUAAUUUGCUGACGAGUGGCGGACGGGUGAGUAAUGCUUGGGAAUCUGGCUUAUGGAGGGGGAUAACUACGGGAAACUGUAGCUAAUACCGCGUAAUAUCGGAAGAUUAAAGGGUGGGACUUUCGAGCCACCUGCCAUAAGAUGAGCUCAAGUGGGAUUAGGUAGUUGGUUAGGUAAAGGCUGACCAAGCCGACGAUCUCUAGCUGGUCUGAGAGGAUGACCAGCCACACUGGAACUGAGACACGGUCCAGACUCCUACGGGAGGCAGCAGUGGGGAAUAUUGCACAAUGGGGGGAACCCUGAUGCAGCCAUGCCGCGUGAAUGAAGAAGGCCUUCGGGUUGUAAAGUUCUUUCGGUGACGAGGAAGGUUGAUAGGUUAAUAGCCUAUCAAAUUGACGUUAAUCACAGAAGAAGCACCGGCUAACUCCGUGCCAGCAGCCGCGGUAAUACGGGGGGUGCGAGCGUUAAUCGGAAUAACUGGGCGUAAAGGGCACGCAGGCGGUGACUUAAGUGAGAUGUGAAAGCCCCGAGCUUAACUUGGGAAUUGCAUUUCAUACUGGGUCGCUAGAGUACUUUAGGGAGGGGUAGAAUUCCACGUGUAGCGGUGAAAUGCGUAGAGAUGUGGAGGAAUACCGAAGGCGAAGGCAGCCCCUUGGGAAUGUACUGACGCUCAUGUGCGAAAGCGUGGGGAGCAAACAGGAUUAGAUACCCUGGUAGUCCACGCUGUAAACGAUGUCGAUUUGGGGAUUGGGCUUUGAGCUUGGUGCCCGUAGCUAACGUGAUAAAUCGACCGCCUGGGGAGUACGGCCGCAAGGUUAAAACUCAAAUGAAUUGACGGGGGCCCGCACAAGCGGUGGAGC
rnacentral:rRNA from 1 species